UUGUUAGUUAUAAAUUGCCCAGCUCCUUGCCCAGUCUGAGGCACGAUCAACAGUUACGGCAAACCAUUCAGUUCAGCCCCUUGGAACUGGUACACUUUAUCACUCAGCCGCUGUCUGAGAGCUCCUAGACCAAGCUCAAGACAUUUGGGGUGUCACAGGUCAAACAGCAAGGAAGAAACCUUUCUACAGCUCCACUCCAGUGCAAGAAAAACAAUUAAGGCUUAAACACUUGGAUUGUAAGACCUGACCCUUGUUUUCAGAAAUGCAUCUGAGGAGCUGCUGUUGCUGGACAAAGCAUGACCGGACUAACAGUAGACUUUGAUGUGCUUCAAAGAGAGCACUGGCAACAAAACCUGCGAGAUUCCAGCACAGAUUUCCUGCAAUAUUGGAAUAAUUUCAGAGGAAGAACAGCUGUUUUCAGGAACUGUGAUAAAGGUACAAAAUAAAGAACUGAGUAAUCAGGAGAAAGGUUUCUUA